GGAGAGAUGGCCGAGUGGCUUAAGGCGCACGCUUGGAAAGCGUGUGUACGGGAAACUGUACCGUGGGUUCGAAUCCCACUCUCUCCG
rnacentral:tRNA from 1 species